CCGGUACUCGCGAAUGCCUCUAGAUUAGGACGUUUGGAUCAUGGCUCAGAUCUGAACGCUCGGCGGCCAAGGCCUAACACAUGCAAGUCGAACGGUAGCACAGAGAGCUUGCUCUUGGGUGACGAGUGGCGGACGGGUGAGUAAUGUCUGGGAAACUGCCCGAUGGAGGGGGAUAACUACUGGAAACGGUAGCUAAUACCGCAUAACGUCUUCGGACCAAAGUGGGGGACCUUCGGGCCUCACACCAUCGGAUGUGCCCAGAUGGGAUUAGCUAGUAGGUGGGGUAAUGGCUCACCUAGGCGACGAUCCCUAGCUGGUCUGAGAGGAUGACCAGCCACACUGGAACUGAGACACGGUCCAGACUCCUACGGGAGGCAGCAGUGGGGAAUAUUGCACAAUGGGCGCAAGCCUGAUGCAGCCAUGC
rnacentral:rRNA from 1 species